AACUGUGUGUAUGUUUGCUUCAGAAUACUCAUGUUUCCUCAUCCAUGGAGGCAGAUUUUCCUACAUCACACCAAUAUAUAUACUCAGGGAUUUGAGUACCAUUGUUCUCUGCAACCUCUGGCCCUAAUACACUAAGCUACAAUUAACAAGAUUUCAAGGAUUGAAUUCAUGGGAUCCAGGAUGGAAUGCAGACUGUAAUAAAAAAUCUAAUCACAUCACAAUUAAGAACACAAUCUCCCUGAAGAGAAUGUGAGCUCUACAGUGUCAGGCGUCUUGGAACUGGAUCAUGGCUCUGGAGCUCUACAAUCAGCAUGAGGCAAAGCCAGAUAAGCCUGCGACCUGCUCUUCAGGGUGGUGAGAUCCUCCAGACUCCAGCACCCAGAGAUGCUCUCCUGAGGCCCAGACCACCACUGCCAGCCAUGGAGGAGGAGUGGCGUUGGCGAUUCAGGACUGCUUUUUCUGUCUCUUCAGUGCCUCUCUCAGCAACAUGAAGGUAAAAACCAGGUUACACCUGUGGCCACAUGGAGGAGUCCUAAAUGACCAACUGAAGGAGAAGCAAAAAACCGAAGCAUGGCUUAUAAUGGGCCUGCUCAGUGUUUAGGCGCCAGCCAAAAAUGGGCAGCAGCUACCUUGCAGCCACACUCCAGGGUGAACUUGCAAGACUUCAACAAAUGGUACAUCUGGUCAGGUACUUUGUGUAGAAGGAAAAAUGAUCUGAGGUGUAAAACCAAGCUGUAGCCCAACCACCUGGGGAACAUGUUUUCAAGACCUCCUGCUGUUGUAUCAUAAGUCAUGCUCCUCAAAUUUGGCUCAGAAUAAAUCUCUUCAAAUAUUUUACA
rnacentral:lncRNA from 10 species